rnacentral:rRNA from 1 species
GACCUGCUUCUGGGUGGGGGUUUCAUAGGUAGUAGGGCAGCUUCCUUGUGAUCUAUUGAAAGGCAGCCCUUGACACAAG